UACGGAGGGUGCAAGCGUUAUCCGGAUUCACUGGGUUUAAAGGGUGCGUAGGCGGCGCGGUAAGUCGGGUGUGAAAUCUCGGAGCUUAACUCCGAAACUGCAUUCGAUACUGCCGUGCUUGAGGACUGGAGAGGAGACUGGAAUUUACGGUGUAGCGGUGAAAUGCGUAGAUAUCGUAAGGAAGACCAGUGGCGAAGGCGGGUCUCUGGACAGUUCCUGACACUGAGACACGAAGGCCAGGGGAGCAAACGGG
rnacentral:rRNA from 1 species